rnacentral:ribozyme from 1 species
GGGGCAAUAAAGCCCCGCCUUAAUGCAGCUGCCGCAAGGCAACGGUCGCAAGCCCGUGCAAAUGCAGAGCGGGGA